rnacentral:rRNA from 1 species
UACAGGAGGGUGCGAGCGUUGUUCGGAAUUAUUGGGCGUAAAGCGCGUGUAGGCGGUGAUGCAUGUCGGGUGUGAAAGCCCUCAGCUCAACUGAGGAAGUGCGCCCGAAACUGCAUCGCUGGAGUGCCGGAGAGGAAGGCGGAAUUCCCGGUGUAGAGGUGAAAUUCGUAGAUAUCGGGAGGAACACCAGUGGCGAAGGCGGCCUUCUGGACGGACACUGACGCUGAGACG